rnacentral:lncRNA from 1 species
GGCGACCGCGGCAGGUUGGGGCGGCUGCUCGCUCGCGCGCAGAACGCGGCGGUCAGCUGCGCCCGGCCUGAAGUUGUCCCAACCGCGGCCGCGUCGGUCGCCCUUUUGACUUGCAGCAGGGCGGGCAGAGCGACUUAGAGGAAAAGUGACUUUUUGUACCCUCCUGCAGGGAGCAGGUUCUCUGUCCUUGUUUAAUUAGACAUUUCUCAGAGAAUCCUGCCUCUGCUCUGAAGCCUUUCUGUUCGCUCCAGUGAAAAUUAGUCAUCCACCGGGCGCGGUGGCUCACGCCUGCAAUCCCAGCACUUUGGGAGGCCGAGGUCUGGGCUUGAUGUUCACCGAUUUUCCCUCAGCUCCGACUGUGGCUCCUCUCAGCUGACUCUGACCCUGCUCUCAGCCGGGCUGCAUCUGCCCAUCUCAGCACAUCAAUAAACAGCAGAGGGAAACUACCACCUUGGAAGGAGCCAGGCAGUUUCUGCUGGGUAGGCCGCAGCCUGGAACAUGGAAGUAGCUUCUUCCAUCCUACACUGGAAACCACCCAGCAUCCCGGGCCCUCCAGAGAAGAGCCAGACUCCCUUCCCUGGGAAGAGACUAUAGUCCUAUCUAGCUUUUCCUUACUUCAGUAUUGCAUGAUAAUUCUCAAGCCUGUUCUUUACAUAAAUACAAAAAGGAGAAAGUGAAAUAGUAGAGGAACCGACCGAUUUGAAGGAGCUGCCACUAUUUGAUUCCUCCUGUUAGGACAUCUGAAUGACCCCAAGUUCCUGUUCUUGAGGCUGUUGUAUCAUAUUCUUAAAAGCUAUGCAUGCAUUCUGCUUUGAAUGUGUCCCUCAGCCUCAUUCUUCUCCACUUGCUGGGGGCCAUCCCGCCCCACGGGAAGAUCAAGAAGUGAUAACUGGGACUGCUACCUGGAGCUAUCAGGUAACUGCACUAUCUUAUGUAGUUUCAUGAGAUCACAACUAGAUAAAUAGUUUCUUUGUAAAUAAACUCUCUUUGGUUUAU